ACAAAAUCCAAACCUUUUUGUGACGAUAUUCCUCCGGCAUGACUGUUGCUUCAAUCUCCUCAUCCAAUUGUUUCCACGCUUUGGACAUGUCGAUGACUGACUUGGAACAAAUUGGACAACAGUAUUUGUCACGAUUUAUCAUCUCAGAGUAACAUUCAAGAUGCAUCGUGUGUCCGCAUUUCAUAACAGAAACGUCUUUCAGCGUGUCGAAAAGGUACUCAUAACAAAUUGGACAGUGGUGCUGCAUAGAGUUCUCGAUACACGAAUGAUUGUCACGCAAGUUAACAUGGUAACAUGAUCCACAUUUCUUGCAAUGAAAAUACUUCUCUCGGCCGCCAACCCUACAAAUUCCACAAUCCUCACAAUGGAACUGCCCCUUCUCAAUAUCAUCAUCAUAGAAUUUGCAUAUUUCACAGAAGUACUCCCCCAUAUUAACACCACAAUUCGUACAAACUCGAGCAACUGGCUGCUCCGUGUCACAGACCGCACAGACGACUUGUUUAACGUCAAAACGAUUGAGUUCAUGACGAUCAGAGGGUCUGCUCAUCACAUUCG
rnacentral:misc_RNA from 1 species